rnacentral:ncRNA from 2 species
UUUCAGGUAUAAUAAUCCGAGUAUAAGUCUGCAAAAGGGGCAGACGUUUCUACCAACCGCCAAACUGGUUGACUACAUUUUACGUAGUCAACCUU